rnacentral:rRNA from 1 species
UACGAAGGGAGCUAGCGUUGUUCGGAAUCACUGGGCGUAAAGCGCACGUAGGCGGAUUUGUUAGUCAGGGGUGAAAUCCCGGGGCUCAACCUCGGAACUGCCUUUGAUACUGCAAGUCUCGAGUCCGAUAGAGGUGGGUGGAAUUCCUAGUGUAGAGGUGAAAUUCGUAGAUAUUAGGAAGAACACCGGUGGCGAAGGCGGCCCACUGGAUCGGUACUGACGCUGAGGUGCGAAAGCGUGGGGAGCAAACAGG